rnacentral:rRNA from 1 species
GAGGACUGUGUGUAAGCGGCGGAGGUAAGACAGGGGCGUCGGUGAGUAAUAGGAUGUAGGGAGCGUAAACGGCGAGUAGGCGGCUAAUUAAGUCACAUGUGGAAUCCCCGAGCGUAGGUUGGGAAAUGAAUUCGAGACUGGUUAGCGAGAGUGUUGGAGAGGAUGGUAGAAGUCCAGGUGGAGCUGUGAAAUGCGUAGAGAUCUGGAGGAAUACCGAUGGCGAAGGCAGCCAUCUGGCCUAACACUGACGCUGAGGUGCGAAAGCAUGGGGAGCAAACAGGAUUAGAUACCCCGGUAGUC